UGGGGAAUAUUGCACAAUGGGCGCAAGCCUGAUGCAGCCAUGCCGCGUGUGUGAAGAAGGCCUUCGGGUUGUAAAGCACUUUCAGCGGGGAGGAAGGCGUUAAGGUUAAUAACCUUGGCGAUUGACGUUACCCGCAGAAGAAGCACCGGCUAACUCCGUGCCAGCAGCCGCGGUAAUACGGAGGGUGCAAGCGUUAAUCGGAAUUACUGGGCGUAAAGCGCACGCAGGCGGUUUGUUAAGUCAGAUGUGAAAUCCCCGGGCUCAACCUGGGAACUGCAUCUGAUACUGGCAAGCUUGAGUCUUGUAGAGGGGGGUAGAAUUCCAUGUGUAGCGGUGAAAUGCGUAGAGAUGUGGAGGAAUACCGGUGGCGAAGGCGGCCCCCUGGACAAAGACUGACGCUCAGGUGCGAAAGCGUGGGGAGCAAACAGG
rnacentral:rRNA from 1 species